rnacentral:rRNA from 1 species
CUACGGGACGCACCAGUGGGGAAUAUUGCAUAAUGGGCGCAAGCCUGAUGCAGCAACGCCGCGUGAGGGAUGAAGGCCUUCGGGUUGUAAACCUCUUUUAGCAGGGAAGAAGCGAAAGUGACGGUACCUGCAGAAAAAGCACCGGCUAACUACGUGCCAGCAGCCGCGGUAAUACGUAGGGUGCAAGCGUUGUCCGGAAUUAUUGGGCGUAAAGAGCUCGUAGGCGGUUUGUCACGUCUGCUGUGAAAAUCCAAGGCUCAACCUUGGACUUGCAGUGGGUACGGGCAGGCUAGAGUGCGGUAGGGGAGAUGGGAAUUCCUGGUGUAGCGGUGGAAUGCGCAGAUAUCAGGAGGAACACCAAUGGCGAAGGCACAUCUCUGGGCCGUAACUGACGCUGAGGAGCGAAAGCGUGGGGAGCGAACAGGAUUAGAUACCCGAGUAGUC